rnacentral:rRNA from 1 species
UUCCCAGACUCCUACGGGAGGCAGCAGUGAGGAAUAUUGGUCAAUGGGCGAGAGCCUGAACCAGCCAAGUCGCGUGAGGGACGACGGCCCUACGGGUUGUAAACCUCUUUUGCCGGGGGACAAACGGCGGCACGCGUGCCGUCCUGAGGGUACCCGGAGAAAAAGCAUCGGCUAACUCCGUGCCAGCAGCCGCGGUAAUACGGAGGAUGCGAGCGUUAUCCGGAUUUAUUGGGUUUAAAGGGUGCGUAGGCGGGAGGCCAAGUCAGCGGUAAAAUGCGGGGGCUCAACCUGCGUCCGCCGUUGAAACUGGCGUUCUUGAGUGGGCGAGAAGUACGCGGAAUGCGUGGUGUAGCGGUGAAAUGCAUAGAUAUCACGCAGAACCCCGAUUGCGAAGGCAGCAUACCGGCGCGCAACUGACGCUCAUGCACGAAAGCGUGGGUAUCGAACAGGAUUAGAUACCCCUGUAA